CGGCGUGCCUAAUACAUGCAAGUCGAGCGGACCGGAUCGGAGCUUGCUCUGGUUUGGUCAGCGGCGGACGGGUGAGUAACACGUGGGCAACCUGCCCGCAAGACCGGGAUAACUCCGGGAAACCGGAGCUAAUACCGGAUAACACCGAAGACCGCAUGGUCUUUGGUUGAAAGGCGGCCUUUGGCUGUCACUUGCGGAUGGGCCCGCGGCGCAUUAGCUAGUUGGUGAGGUAACGGCUCACCAAGGCGACGAUGCGUAGCCGGCCUGAGAGGGUGACCGGCCACACUGGGACUGAGACACGGCCCAGACUCCUACGGGAGGCAGCAGUAGGGAAUCUUCCGCAAUGGGCGAAAGCCUGACGGAGCGACGCCGCGUGAGCGAAGAAGGCCUUCGGGUCGUAAAGCUCUGUUGUGAGGGACGAAGGAGCGCCGUUCGAAGAGGGCGGCGCGGUGACGGUACCUCACGAGGAAGCCCCGGCUAACUACGUGCCAGCAGCCGCGGUAAUACGUAGGGGGCGAGCGUUGUCCGGAAUUAUUGGGCGUAAAGCGCGCGCAGGCGGUCUCUUAAGUCUGAUGUGAAAGCCCACGGCUCAACCGUGGAGGGUCAUUGGAAACUGGGGGACUUGAGUGCAGGAGAGGAGAGCGGAAUUCCACGUGUAGCGGUGAAAUGCGUAGAGAUGUGGAGGAACACCAGUGGCGAAGGCGGCUCUCUGGCCUGCAACUGACGCUGAGGCGCGAAAGCGUGGGGAGCAAACAGGAUU
rnacentral:rRNA from 1 species